GGAUGUUUGAGAAGCUGGUCGUU
rnacentral:piRNA from 1 species